rnacentral:tRNA from 1 species
AAUCUUAUAGUUGACCCACAACAUUGAUUUGCAAAAUCAAAAGCAUUAUUUAAUUAAGAUUU